rnacentral:rRNA from 1 species
AUUGAACGCUGGCGGCAAGCCUAACACAUGCAAGUCGAACGAGUGGCGGACGGGUGAGUAAUGUCUGGGAAACUGCCUGAUGGAGGGGGAUAACUACUGGAAACGGUAGCUAAUACCGCAUACCAUCGGAUGUGCCCAGAUGGGAUUAGCUAGUAGGGGGGGUAAAGGCUCACCUAGGCGACGAUCCCUAGCUGGUUUGAGAGGAUGACCAGCCACACGUGAACUGAGACAUGGUCCAGAGUCCUACGGGAGGCAGCAGUGGGGAAUAUUGCACAAUGGGCGCAAGCCUGAUGGAGCCAUGCCGCGUGUAUGAAGAUGGCCUUAGGGUUGUAAAGUACUUUCAGCGUGGAGGCGUUACCGUCAGAAGAAGCACCGGCUAACUCCGUGCCAGCCGCCGCGGUAAUAC